GGAGGGUAUGUGCAUCGCGGUCUGCACACCAUUCUGCUAAACUGGGACGCCGAGACGAUCGGCGCAGUCGGUUCGACUCCGGCACCCUCCG
rnacentral:tRNA from 1 species